GCGGAGGAAAAGAAACCAACAGGGAUUGCCCUAGUAACGGCGAGUGAAGCGGCAACAGCUCAAAUUUGAAAUCUGGCUUCGGCCCGAGUUGUAAUUUGCAGAGGAAGCUUUAGGCGCGGCACCUCCUGAGUCCCCUGGAACGGGGCGCCACAGAGGGUGAGAGCCCCGUAUAGUUGGAUGCCUAGCCUGUGUAAAGCUCCUUCGACGAGUCGAGUAGUUUGGGAAUGCUGCUCAAAAUGGGAGGUAAAUUUCUUCUAAAGCUAAAUACCGGCCAGAGACCGAUAGCGCACAAGUAGAGUGAUCGAAAGAUGAAAAGCACUUUGAAAAGAGGGUUAAAUAGCACGUGAAAUUGUUGAAAGGGAAGCGCUUGUGACCAGACUUGCGCCGGGCUGAUCAUCCGGUGUUCUCACCGGUGCACUCUGCCCGGCUCAGGCCAGCAUCGGUUCUCGCGGGGGGAUAAAGGCCCUGGGAACGUAGCUCCUCCGGGAGUGUUAUAGCCCGGGGCGCAAUGCCCUCGCGGGGACCGAGGUUCGCGCUCUGCAAGGAUGCUGGCGUAAUGGUCAUCAGCGACCCGUCUUGAAACACGGACCAAGGAGUCAAGGUUUUGCGCGAGUGUUUGGGUGUAAAACCCGCACGCGUAAUGAAAGUGAACGUAGGUGAGAGCUUCGGCGCAUCAUCGACCGAUCCUGAUGUUCUCGGAUGGAUUUGAGUAGGAGCGUUAAGCCUUGGACCCGAAAGAUGGUGAACUAUGCUUGGAUAGGGUGAAGCCAGAGGAAACUCUGGUGGAGGCUCGCAGCGGUUCUGACGUGCAAAUCGAUCGUCAAAUCUGAGCAUGGGGGCGAAAGACUAAUCGAACCAUCUAGUAGCUGGUUACCGCCGAAGUUCCCCUCAGGA
rnacentral:rRNA from 1 species